ensembl:snoRNA
ACCUUCCUCUUCCCUUCCUCAUCAGAUCUCAACACUGGUCUUGGUGCUCAUAAAAGGAGGAGGAGCAUGCUGAAGAACCCACCGCCUUGUAGUCUGAUAUAAGCAUGUGAGCUAGAUUCAAGCAGGA